UCUGAUUCUGCUUGGAGCGUUGCGACAUGAAUUCUGAUUCUGAUCUUUGAAGCAUUUCCCACAUGACCUGAACAUCCGCGUAUCCACAGGUUUGAAUAUCACUGUGAAGCUUCAAAAGAGAUGCACCUGAUGAUCAAGGCAGCAAGUAAGAUUCAUUUAUACAAGUCAAGAAAAUUUUCUACUUCAUAUACUGCACAUUUGGCCUGCUCCUACUUAUGUCAAACAAAAUUGAGCCACAGAGUCACGCUCACGAAGAACAGUUUUCAACGUGAGAACACUUACAACAUUAUUGUAACUCAAAAAGUUAUACUUUGAGCUAUAAAUCGCGCUCCAUAAAAAAGUUUUUAGCGUGAGAACACUCAAGACAUUAUUGUAAUUCAAAAAUUUAUACUUUGAGCCAUAUGUCGCGCAUUGUGAAGAACAGUUUUUUAGCACGAAAACACUUCUAACACUAUUGUUCUGUAGCAGAACAAAUGAACAAUACAACAUUCAAAAAAGGUGAAAAUCACCAGAACAAUUAUUCUGCACUUUUUGAAAACUACGACGAAUGCUAACCGUUUUUGCGUGACCUGACGCGGGCAGCUACCGCGAACAGAACUUUUCGAACAGGGCAGACCAUCUUCUCCCACAAAUCCAUUGCUCUUCCA
rnacentral:lncRNA from 1 species